UCUCCAAAACUAUUUCAAUUUUAAGUCAAAUCUCAUCGCAUCCUUUGCGAUCUGUACGAUGGUGAUGAUGAUGCCGCUGGAUGAACACUGAGAUCACGCUAGCACAAAUUAGUCGACAAGUGUUAAUGGUGGUACCGGUUUUUCCCAUCCGCCUCUCCGAGAGUGCUUCUGGCGAACGCGCAAAAACGCGUGCUGCGGACACGUUGCCAAAACCGUUUCCAUCUCAAACCGUGCGACGACGACGACAACGACAACAACGACGGCUACACUUACAACAGUACAACUGACCGUGUGUUGUUACGUUGCUUACAGGAGACUCGAUAGAUAUUGAACGGUCGGUCGGUCGGUCUCUCUCUCCGCCGCUUGUUGUUAUCGCCUCAACAGCACACACCGAUCCGCGCCGUACGUUGUUGUCUAAUCAAUAUUCUCCCUUUGCCGCCGCCACCGCCGCCACCGCCGCAUCCGCCGUCGCUCCUGUUUACUGAUACGAUCGUUUGAUUACGCUCGCGCCGCACGACAUUGCCGUGCAUACAUACAUACCGUACCUCAUCGACUACAAAAACAAACUUGUCAAGCUGAUAAAAACCAAGCCCUCCACGUGCUCAAUGCCGGCCGCUGUCACCGUGUGGCAUGCUGCCGUGCGUAUCACCUGGUGGGCCCUCCUACUACAGCACGGUAUUGCUUCCUUCGGUGUGUGUGGUGUGUGUGUGUUUGUGUCUUCGAUAAAGCAUAACAAUAUGCUGCAUUAUCGACGGGCGCGGCCAUCUAACCGGAAUAAGAACCGGAACUGCACUGGAAGUAAUUGAAGGUUUAACGUAAAAGCCACACAAACACACAGAUCGAUCCCAAAUUCGAAUCGAGUAAAAUCGUUGUGAUCUAAAAUAGGCAAAAGCAGCAGGGUAGAUGCGACCGAAGGAUGGCGAAUAUCUAAUGGGUCAGAAAGAUCACCCAAAGGGGGGGUUGGUGAGCAACACAACGAGACGAGAAAAAAAAAACAAACUCGUUCUUCCUUUUGCGGAGACACACGAAUAAAUUACACCAACAGAACGCGCGAAACAUCCGGGAUGAUGUGGGAACGGAAUGACAUACAAGCAACCCUUGAGUGCCCCACUCCUUGCGCGUGUGGGUGUGUGUGUUCGCUUGUGAGGAGGUAAAUCACGAAGAUGUAAUGGAAGCUUUGCGGUUACUUCGUAAUUUUUACUUCGAUCUGCGACACAGACACACAUGGUUGCGUUUUGUUUGCGCAUACGCAGCGAAUCGCUCAGAGAGAGAGAGAGA